UUUUUCACCUGCUGAAUUAUAUUCUUCUGUGACUAUUCUCUUUAUUGCAGUUGCUUGUUUUCAAUUCACCACAAAUGGGAAGUCAUCAUGCUGAUAGAUUACUUUCAAAGCCUUUGAGCUCACAUUAUGACCUUUUGUUUAGACAUGGUUUUGUGGUUCUGCAUUGAUCGAGCCACUGCUGCAUUUGGUUGACUUUUCUUCCAGCUGAGAAGCAGAUGAAGUCUUUGAAACUCGGUCCUUGGAAGCAGUCUGAAGAAAUAUGAUGGCAAUAUGAUGGCAAAAUAAAUUAGAGAAAUACUG